CCCAGACAGCCAGGAUGUUGGCUUAGAAGCAGCCAUCAUUUAAAGAAAGCGUAAUAGCUCACUGGUCGAGUCGGCCUGCGCGGAAGAUGUAACGGGGCUAAACCAUGCACCGAAGCUGCGGCAGCGACACUGUGUGUUGUUGGGUAGGGGAGCGUUCUGUAAGCCUGUGAAGGUGGCCUGUGAGGGUUGCUGGAGGUAUCAGAAGUGCGAAUGCUGACAUAAGUAACGAUAAAGCGGGUGAAAAGCCCGCUCGCCGGAAGACCAAGGGUUCCUGUCCAACGUUAAUCGGGGCAGGGUGAGUCGACCCCUAAGGCGAGGCCGAAAGGCGUAGUCGAUGGGAAACGGGUUAAUAUUCCCGUACUUGGUGUUACUGCGAAGGGGGGACGGAGAAGGCUAUGUUGGCCGGGCGACGGUUGUCCCGGUUUAAGCGUGUAGGCUGGUUUUCCAGGCAAAUCCGGAAAAUCAAGGCUGAGGCGUGACGACGAGGCACUACGGUGCUGAAGCAACAAAUGCCCUGCUUCCAGGAAAAGCCUCUAAGCAUCAGGUAACACGAAAUCGUACCCCAAACCGACACAGGUGGUCAGGUAGAGAAUACCAAGGCGCUUGA
rnacentral:rRNA from 2 species